UACGGAGGGUGCAAGCGUUGUUCGGAAUCACUGGGCGUAAAGGGCGUGUAGGCGGUCCGCUAAGUCUGAUGUGAAAGCCCGAGGCUUACCCUCGGAAGUGCAUUGGAGACUGGCGGACUUGAGUCCCGGAGAGGAGGGUGGAAUUCCUGGUGUAGCGGUGAAAUGCGUAGAUAUCAGGAGGAACACCGGUGGCGAAGGCGGCCCUCUGGACGGUGACUGACGCCGAGACGCGAAAGCGUGGGGAGCAAACAGG
rnacentral:rRNA from 1 species